rnacentral:rRNA from 1 species
CUACGGGAGGCAGCAGUGAGGAAUAUUGCACAAUGGGGGGAAUCCUGAUGCAGCAACGCCGCGUGGAGGAUGACGCAUUUCGGUGUGUAAACUCCUUUUAUAUGUCAAGAAAAUGACGGUAGCAUAUGAAUAAGCACCGGCUAACUCCGUGCCAGCAGCCGCGGUAAUACGGAGGGUGCAAGCGUUACUCGGAAUCACUGGGCGUAAAGGACGCGUAGGCGGGUUGGAAAGUCAGGUGUGAAAUCCUACAGCUUAACUGUAGAACUGCACUUGAAACUUCUAAUCUAGAGUAUGGGAGGGGGAGAUGGAAUUCGUGGUGUAGGGGUAAAAUCCGUAGAUAUCACUAGGAAUACCUAAAGCGAAGGCGAUCUCCUGGAACAUUACUGACGCUAAGGCGUGAAAGCGUGGGGAGCAAACAGGAUUAGAUACCCUCGUAGUC